rnacentral:misc_RNA from 1 species
UUUCCGUAGGUGAACCUGCGGAAGGAUCAUUAGAGAAGUGAGAGCGGGCUGACGCCUGUCUCUCAAACCCACUCUAAAACCCACUGUGAACUGAACCGGUCUAUGGGGACCCGGGAGUGAUGGUUGCCGUCGCUCACAAACCCCCUCUUUAAGCACAACCUGUCAUGGAUGAUGAACACCCUUACGGGUGCCAAAAAUUAAUACAACUUUCAGCAACGGAUCUCUAGGCUCUC